AUUGAACGCUGGCGGCAUGCCUUACACAUGCAAGUCGAACGGUAACGCGGGGCAACCUGGCGACGAGUGGCGAACGGGUGAGUAAUGCAUCGGAACGUGCCCAGUAGUGGGGGAUAGCCCGGCGAAAGCCGGAUUAAUACCGCACACGACCUACGGGUGAAAGCGGGGGACCGUAAGGCCUCGCGCUAUUGGAGCGGCCGCUGUCAGAUUAGGUUGUUGGUGGGGUAAAAGCCUACCAAGCCGACGAUCUGUAGCUGGUCUGCGAGGACGACCAGCCACACUGGGACUGGGACACGGCCCAGACUCCUACGGGAGGCAGCAGUGGGGAAUUUUGGACAAUGGGGGCAACCCUGAUCCAGCCAUGCCGCGUGCGGGAAGAAGGCCUUCGGGUUGUAAACCGCUUUUGUCAGGGAAGAAACGCUCUGGGCUAAUACCCCGGGGUAAUGACGGUACCUGAAGAAUAAGCACCGGCUAACUACGUGCCAGCCGCCGCCGUAAAAC
rnacentral:rRNA from 1 species